CUAUCUAUGUCUCUCUUUCUGUUUUCUUCUCUUAUCGCAUUCUGAUCUCAUUCUUUCUUGUUUUUGGAUUUUUUUUUUCCCGCGAAGAUCAAGAUCGGAAUCAAUGGAUUUGGAAGGAUCGGGCGAUUGGUGGCCAGAGUGGCUCUCCAGAGCAACGAGGUCGAGCUCGUCGCCGUCAACGAUCCCUUCAUCACUACCGACUACAUGAUUCUUAGUAAGAAUUAUUCGAUCCCAUUGGAUAAGCUCCUGUCAACAGUGCAAUAAGAUACUGGUGCUACACCCCUCUCUUUUAUGAUGAACAAUCGAAGGCGAUACGGAAAGUGCCGGUGGGCAGAGGUAGCUGGAAUCUGCGCGUGACAAAGACCAUGGGCAGCGGGGGUGGAGAAAAGUGAUGCAAGCGAAAUUUGAGGUAUGACAAGAAUAAAGUUGGCACGCUCAAGUUCAAGAUGACACAAUAUUCGCUUGGAGGUGAAUAUGAUCAGGUGAGAACUAAGAAAAGCUCAGAAGAUAGUUUAGCUCUCGAUCCUUUUUCGCUUUUUUUCUGGUAGAGAUCUUCUUUUGAGUUUUGCUUGAAAGUAAAUGCCAGCUUGCCCAGACUCUCAUUGACCCCGAGCGACGCAUCUAAUAAGAUUGAUGGUUUUUUUUGCCAUCAUUAUUGCGGUCCAAGUACGCUAUAUGUUAGAUUUUUCAGAUCGCUCACACGGUGGCUAGAUUUCAGGGCGCUGCAACGGACUCUCGUCCUCUAAGCACAGGUCAGAGGGAUCUCCCCCAAAACGAUGUUGUACCAUCAGGUAUUGGAAGGAAAAAAUAUAGACUGGUUAAGAUUUUUAAUUUGAUAAGUAAAAUACAACAUUCAUACACGCACGAUAUGUUCGACUCGAGAAUAAAUCAAAAUGCAUUUUUGUUGCAUACAUGCAUUUUUGUUGAAAUAAUGUACUUGAUGGCUAUCUAUUUUCAAUUUUUUUUCUAAGUAUUUUAUACUUAUUAAAAAAAAUUAUUAUUAAAAAAAGGCCUCAUUCACUGAAUCCGCCUUAGGCCUCCAAAUAUAUUAGGCCGCCCCUGAGUUUAAUAUAAUUUUUGAGUGAAAGCACGGAAAAGUAAUUAUGCUUAAGGAAGGGCCCAUAAAACUGAUUAAAUAACUGAGAUAAUGCUCAAGUGAUUAUUAUUUCUAGAUAAUGUUAAAUUUUCUCUCGUGCGCGCAUGCAUGUCGUAUUUUACUUAUCAAAUUAAAAAUCUUGACCUGUCUAUAUUUUUUCUCCCAAUACCUGGUGGUACAACGUCGUUUUGGGGAAGAUCCCGCUGAUCUGUGCCUGGAGAACGAGAGUCCGUUGCAGUGCUUUGAAAUCUAGACGCCACGUGAGCGAUCUGAAAAAUCUGACAGAUAGCGUACUUGGGCUGCAAUAACGAUGGCAAGAAAAACCAUCAAUCUUAUUAGAUGCGUCACUCGGGGUCAAUGAGAGUCUGGGCAAGCUGGCAUUUACUUUCAAGCCAAACUCAAAAGAAGAUCUCAACCAGAAAAAAAACGAAAAAGGGUCAAGAGCUAAACUAUCUUCUAAGUUUUUCUUAGUUCUCACCUGAUCAUCUUCUCCUCCAAGCGAAUAUUGUGUCAUCUUGAACUUGAGUGUGCCAACUUUAUUCUAGUCAUACAUCAAAUUUCGCUUACACCACUUUUUUCCACCCCUGCUGCCCAUGAUCUUUGUCACGCACAGAUUCCAGCUAUCUCUGCCCACUGGCACUUUCCGUAUCACCUUUGAUUAUUUAUCAUAAAAGAGAGGGAUGUAGCCCUCUGCCUAUAACGAGAACACAAAAUCGGUCUCCAUCAUCGGGUGUUUUAAUAGGGGUCAAGAGGGAGAAAAUGAAGCUUUGAUCGUUCAGUCAUCCAUGGAUCCAGGUACGCUACCCUACCAUGGUUAUGUUUAUGAUCCUAUUUACAAAUGUUUACAUAGCAGACUGCUCAACUAAUGAACAGGUAAUGUUAAAAGGAACUUUAGCAAAUGCUCAAACUAUAUAACCAAGUUUAGACAAGAAGAGAAAAUCUAAAAUCCUAGGCUUUUAGCCUAUACAUUAUACAAGUAGCGUUUAUAUUUACCAUGCUUAUGAGACAUGCUUCAUACAUGUAGGAGAUGGAUAGAGGUGCAGAUGAGAACGUUAAAAUUGUGGAAAUGGAUCUAUUUGUAGGGAUUGUUUUAUUUGUAGGGAUCUAUUUGUUAUUUUGUGAUCCUAUUUAUAUGGGUUCACCCUCAUGUUUAGGUUUUUUUGAUGAAUGAUGAAUAAAAAUUAGCCUCCUUGUCUUCUUCUCCCUCCUCCUCUUCUCCCCCUUCUCUUCUCCCCCCUCCUCUUCUCCUCUCUUUCCUCUCCUUUCUGCAGUUGUCCUGCAUCAGCUUUGGUAUCAGAGCACCCGGUUUUGCCUCUGUUGCCAAAACCCUUUUCUUUUCUGGGCUGCCGUGGGUCAGGCUACGGACGAGA